CCUACGGGAGGCAGCAGUGAGGAAUAUUGGUCAAUGGACGCAAGUCUGAACCAGCCAUGCCGCGUGCAGGAAGACGGCUCUAUGAGUUGUAAACUGCUUUUGUACGAGGGUAAACGCAGAUACGCGUAUCUGUCUGAAAGUACCGUACGAAUAAGGAUCGGCUAACUCCGUGCCAGCAGCCGCGGUAAUACGGAGGAUCCAAGCGUUAUCCGGAUUUAUUGGGUUUAAAGGGUGCGUAGAUGGUCGGUUAAGUUAGAGGUGAAAUCCCGAGGCUCAACUUCAGAAUUGCCUUUGAUACUGUUAGGCUAGAGAGUAGUUGCGGUAGGCGGAAUGUAUGGUGUAGCGGUGAAAUGCUUAGAGAUCAUACAGAACACCGAUUGCGAAGGCAGCUUACCAAGCUGCUUCUGACAUUGAGGCACGAAAGCGUGGGGAGCAAACAGGAUUAGAUACCCUGGUAGUC
rnacentral:rRNA from 1 species